CAUUUCAACCAAAAAGUUCUACUCAACCAACCAAAAAGUUCUACUCAACCAACCAAAAAAGCAUUUUAUGGUCAACCUAAAAGUUGAGCAGCAAGUUGACGAUGAAGCGCACCCAUAGUUGAAUGUGAAAUUAUUACAGGCUACCAGUGUACGUAUUCGUGUAUCAGUUAGUGCCGCUAACUCUUUAUCAGUCAACAUUUUCAUCAAACUUAUGUAUCAAGCCUGAGACGUUAAAGCAAUGUUAUCAGAACCAACGUAAUCUUGCAGAUAGAAUAUACCAACACCGGGCAAAAAAAUUGCAUCGACUUCAAUUUUCGAUCGGGAAUAGUGAACAUCACAGUUUUUUAGCCGUUUUACAUCCUAUACCUAUACGUAUGAGUACCAGAUUAUUUCUUUAUACUUCAGCCUUCGUUGAUCAGCAGAAAAAGACAAUGUCGAACAUCAUACGAACGAAAUUGAAUUUUGACGCACUAGCUUACGGCAAGGAAGCGAACAUCAAUUUUCAAGAAAUGAAGAUUGCUUAUUCAAUCCCAGAGCACGUAGAAUCAGAAAUUGAUGACGUUGCCAACCAUUUCAAGUUCGACGCUCAAGGAAGACCCUUGAGCGCCGAGGAAAAACAACGACAAAUUGACGAAAAACUUUUGAACGAAACCGAAUGCCAUGGUUACUUUUUUGAUUACGUCUCAAACAUGAAUUUUAAGCACUUAUAUUUAGAGACGUGUAAUGAUACAUUGGACACUUAUAUUCUGGAAUACGCAACGAAUAAAAAGCACUUCCAGUGGACGAUACUGCAGAAGAUCUGCUUUGAAUUGGUGAAUUCAGUGGCAUGGCUGCAUCGACGUAAAUUGUACUACAAUGGUCGACUUCAUCCUCGUAACAUUUUCAUGAAGACUUCUGGACUUGUGGAUACUCCAUGGAAUGUAAAGCUUCAAGUUUCCAGAAAAACCGAAUCCCUUUCCCAAUCUGGACACAGAAUACGUCAAUUUGUGGUCGGGACUAAAAAAGUCGGACGUUAACACGGACGAAAAAGCCAUUCAGAGAGAUCUAUUUUCCGUAGCCAUAUUAAUAUUUUUUAUUCAGUCAGUCGGCUUUCAUCCUUUUCAAAUGAACAGCGUUGAUCCGGUAAAACGGAGUGAGUACCCAGCCAUACAGAAACAACUUGAAAAGAAGAAGUUUAAGUUAGUUGUCUUGGAUAGAAAAUGCUUUUGUGCAAGUCAAAAACGAAAACUGCGAAGAAUUGCAAUGCAAAUAUCGUCACUGGGUCAACAUGCUGGCAAAGGAUUGUACACAUACUAUGCUAACCGAACUCAGUGGAGAAAAGUCAAAUAAAUAUACCGAAAAAUCGUCUGAAAAGCUUAUGGAACAUCCCUUUUUCUGGAAGACUUCAGAAGUUCUUAGGUUCAUCGAAGAAUCAUCAAACUACUUGAAAGACAAAAAAGAUUCUGCAAAAAUUGGUUUGUUUACUAAUAAUGAGGAAGAGAAGAACACGGAUACAGUAGAUUCUGAUAACGAGGAUGUUCCAAAUCAUAAACCAUGGAUACUGAGUUCUGCCCUUUUGUUAAAACUAAGUAAAACCCAUGAAGACAUUUUCAACUAUUUAUGUCUAAGAUAUAAGAAGAAGAUAAUAAUCAAGGAUUUUUACGAUCUUCUGUGUCAAAUACGUAACAAGAGUACUCACUGGUAUGAGCCGAGUGAAUGUGAAAUAAAAGCCAAGGACGAAUUGAAGAAAAUUAGCUUUGAAAUAAAAGCCAAGGACGAAUUGAAGAAAAUUAGUGAAGUAGAUAGCGAAGUUGAAGCAGAUAGUGAAAUGGAUGCUAAGCAUAAGUUUUGUUUAUUCUGGAACAUACAUUUCCCCACACUUAUCCUCUACACAUGGAACAAUCUGAAGGAUGUAGUUUCGUAUCCUGUUAAGAAAUGACUUGUUUCAAAACGGAAACUUGUCCACAUUUAGUUGGUGAAAAAAAUGACGUUUUAUUUGAUUUUUUUCUUCAAAGAGAUUUCCAAAUGGCUUAAAAUCCCAAGCUGUUAAAAAUUAUAAACGCUUGUGUAAAACGAAAUUCUUUAUAUGUCGCAAUACUGUAUAUCACACUGUUGCAAUGGAGUACAAAGGUCUUCUUUGUCAGAUAAAUAAGUGAGAUGAAAUACACCGACUUUCAACGUC